UACAGAGGUCCCAAGCGUUGUUCGGAUUCAUUGGGCGUAAAGGGUGUGUAGGUGGCGCCGUAAGUCGGGUGUGAAAUUUCGGAGCUUAACUCCGAAACUGCAUUCGAUACUGCGGUGCUUGAGGACUGGAGAGGAGACUGGAAUUCAUGGUGUAGCAGUGAAAUGCGUAGAGAUCAUGAGGAAGACCAGUGGCGAAGGCGGGUCUCUGGACAGUUCCUGACACUGAGGCACGAAGGUCAGGGGAGCAAACGGG
rnacentral:rRNA from 1 species